GGGGGCCGGCUCCUCCUUGCACCUCCGGGCCCGGAGGAGCGGGGGUCACCCCACUGGGAGCAAGGAGCGGGGGUGCGGCGGGUCCCGGGCUGUCGGGGUGCAGGAGCUGGGCCCCGGUCCCCGGCCGGGGGUCCCACUUGCGGCGCGGCUGCCCCGGGCCCGGGCGGGAGCGGGCGGAGCCGGAGAGGAGGCGCGGCGGCGGGCGGGGCGCGAGCAGGUCGGGCGCCGGGAGCCGAGGGGCCUGGUCCGCGCGGCGGGGUCGGGCGAGGGCGAGGGCGCGGGGAGGCGCGAGGCGCGGGGAGGCGCUGGGGUGCGCGGGGGCGGCGCGGGGCUCGCCCCCUGGGUGUCGCCCCCUCCGCCCCCGGGCAUGCAGCCCCCGCCCGCGGGCUCGGGCUCCGGCUCGGGGGCGGGGGUGGGGACGGGGGCGGGGACGGGGCGGGGGCGGGGGUCCCCGCGGCUGGCCCGGCGGGCGCUGGCGGCGCGGCUGUCGCUUUAAGCGCUCGGCAGGGGCCGGGGCGGGCGGGCGGCGAGCGCGUUUCCAUGGCACCGAGGCUGCGGGGGCUGCGGGGCCGCGCGGCUCGCCGGGCUCCGGGGCUCCCGGCGGAGCAGGGGCGCAGCUCGGCGGCCGCGGCGCCUCCGGGGCUCGGACGCCGCCCCCGCGCUCGCCGCCGCCGCGCCCCCCUCGGCGCCCCGCGCCCCGCGCCCCGCCGGCCCCGCGCGCCAACUUCUGCCCCGCGAGCCCAACUUGUGCGCGGGGCGCGCCGCCGGGGUCCCCGGCCACUCGGGCUGCGCCGCCUGCGCGCUCCUGCCGCCGCCCGCAGCGCCCUGCAGCUCCGCUCGGCCGGGAUCCAGUACUACACCACCUACAGACAAGCGUACCACAUGGAGCAACAGCCCGUCUACAAGUGCUGCCCUGGUUGGAGCCAGUGGGACAAUGAACCUGGCUGCCUAUGCUGCGGUGGGAACAUGUUUCAAAGGAAGGAGGUGCUCAGACGGCGAGGCCCAGCAGAGCCAGUAUUCAGAGGGUUUUCAAGGCCCCCACUGUCAAUAUGA
rnacentral:lncRNA from 1 species